AAAGGAAGUUGACGGGGCCCGCACAAGCGGUGGAGCAUGUGGUUUAAUUCGACGCAACGCGAAGAACCUUACCAGGGCUUGACAUCCCCUGACCGCGUAUGAAAGUACGUUUUCACCCUCGGGUGACAGGGAGACAGGUGGUGCAUGGUUGUCGUCAGCUCGUGUCGUGAGAUGUUGGGUUAAGUCCCGCAACGAGCGCAACCCCUACGUUUAGUUGCUAACGCGUGAAGGCGAGCACUCUAGACGAACUGCCGUUGACAAAACGGAGGAAGGUGGGGAUGACGUCAAAUCAUCAUGCCCCUUAUGACCUGGGCUACACACGUGCUACAAUGGUUGGUACAACGAGUUGCGAGUCGGUGACGGCGAGCUAAUCUCUUAAAGCCAAUCUCAGUUCGGAUUGUAGGCUGCAACUCGCCUACAUGAAGUCGGAAUCGCUAGUAAUCGCGGAUCAGCACGCCGCGGUGAAUACGUUCCCGGGCCUU
rnacentral:rRNA from 1 species